CCUACGGGCGGCAGCAGUGGGGAAUAUUGGACAAUGGGCGAAAGCCUGAUCCAGCCAUGCCGCGUGUGUGAAGAAGGCCUUCGGGUUGUAAAGCACUUUCAGUGGGGAAGAAAGCCUUGGGGCUAAUACCCUCGAGGAAGGACAUCACCCACAGAAGAAGCACCGGCUAACUCCGUGCCAGCAGCCGCGGUAAUACGGAGGGUGCGAGCGUUAAUCGGAAUUACUGGGCGUAAAGCGCGCGUAGGCGGUCUGAUAAGCCGGUUGUGAAAGCCCCGGGCUCAACCUGGGAACGGCAUCCGGAACUGUCAGGCUAGAGGGCAGGAGAGGAAGGUAGAAUUCCCGGUGUAGCGGUGAAAUGCGUAGAGAUCGGGAGGAAUACCAGUGGCGAAGGCGGCCUUCUGGACUGACACUGACGCUGAGGUGCGAAAGCGUGGGUAGCAAACAGGAUUAGAUACCCCUGUAGUC
rnacentral:rRNA from 1 species